rnacentral:rRNA from 1 species
AGGGCUAAUACACGUUUGAGGUCUUUUGACCGCGUUUAUUAGUUUGAAACCCGCCUUGGCUUUCGGUGAUUCAUAAUAAUCUGGCGAAUCGCAUUUAGCGAUGGACCAUUCAAGUUUCUGACCCAUCAGCUUGACGGUAGGGUAUUGGCCUACCGAGGCAGCAACGGGUAACGGGGAAUUAGGGUUCGAUUCCGGAGAGGGAGCCUGAGAGACGGCUACCACAUCUAAGGAAGGCAGCAGGCGUGCAAAUUACCCAAUCCUGACACAGGGAGGUAGUGACAAGAAAUAACAAUACAGGGCGAAUGUCUUGUAAUUGGAAUGAUGGUGACCCAAACCCUCACCAGAGUAGCAAUUGGAGGGCAAGUCUGGUGCCAGCAGCCGCGGUAAUUCCAGCUCCAAUAGCGUAUAUUAAACUUGUUGCAGUUAAAAAGCUCGUAGUUGUAUUUUUGCGUUAGCGGUUUGACCAUUUGGUUGGUUAUUUCGUUUUCGCUUUUGGGAAUUUCCCUUUUUACUUUGAGAAAAUUAGAGUGUUUCAAGCAGACUUUUGUCUUGAAUACUUCAACAUGGAAUAAUAGAGUAGGACUUUGGUUCUAUUUUGUUGGUUAUUGAACCUUAGUAAUGGUUAAUAGGAACGGUUGGGGGCAUUCGUAUUUAACUGUCAGAGGUGAAAUUCUUAGAUUUGUUAAAGACGAACUACUGCGAAAGCAUUUGCCAAGGACGUUUCCAUUAAUCAAGGACGAAAGUUAGGGGAUCGAAGACGAUCAGAUACCGUCGUAGUC